rnacentral:rRNA from 1 species
UACGGGGGGGGCAAGCGUUGUUCGGAAUUACUGGGCGUAAAGGGCUCGUAGGCGGCCAACUAAGUCAUACGUGAAAUCCCCCGGCUUAACCGGGGAACUGCGUCUGAUACUGGAUGGCUUGAGUUCGGGAGAGGGAUGCGGAAUUCCAGGUGUAGCGGUGAAAUGCGUAGAUAUCGUAAGGAAGACCAGUGGCGAAGGCGGGUCUCUGGACAGUUCCUGACGCUGAGGCACGAAGGUCAGGGGAGCAAACGGG